GUCAAGCUGUAAACGGGAUUCACUGUCACACAAAAAGGAAACACAUUAAGCCUUGGGUAAAUUCUGAGCAGAGAUUUGCUCCCUUUGCACAAUUAGAAGGGCAGCAAACACUUCGCAUCUGCUUCAGGAACUUUUCCAGUCCUAUCAUCUUAACCCAAUCCUGUGAAAUUCCUUGCAGAAGAUGAAGAAGGAAAUGUUAAUGGUUAUUGGUGUCUUGCUGCUUAUUCAGUGUAUUCCUGCUCAAGGGGGCUUCCGGGGACAUUUCUCAGCUUACCUGGGAAAGUGCAACAAGCCCGGAACAAGAUGUCGUGCUGGCUUUUGUGGACCAGAAGAGGUGCUUUUCCCAUUGCAAUGUCCUGGCAUUUUGGAUUGUUGCAAAAUGAUGCAGUGGAAGAUCUUGUAGUGAUAGAUUCCUAUUCUAGCCUGCGACCUCCAAUCUCUCUCCAAGCAAACCUUUGUACACUGGAUGUCUUUUGAUUGUUCAGGCGAGAAAAAUCCUGGAGUUGUAGAACCACAUUCUCAAUCACGGUCUAAGCUCCUCAAUAAAACACAUUGCACUGA